UUGCUGUGAUGAAUACCACAUUAUGUAUGAAAGUUAAUAUGUCAUUGCUUGAUGAAUUUCAUCUGGUGCGGUUAUCUGAGCAA